GAUGGAGAGUCUAGAGCCUUUCAUUCCAGUCUAAACCCCCUCCAAAACCCUGGCAUAGCUAUGGCGCAACGACUGCUCCGCCUCCGUCGAGCCCUAACCCCACUCUCUUCUACUCGGCAACGCCCUCCUCUCUCCACUCCUAUCGAAAUCGCACCACCAGCCGCACAGACGCCCCCAAUCAUUUCUCAAUGGCGGGGAUUCUCGGGAACGAGAGUGUCAAUGAUGUCGACGACUGGUUUAGCAGAGAAACAGUACAAGGUAUACGAGGAUGGAGAAGAAAUUGUUAAGAACACAAUUCUGUUUGAAGGCAACGAAUACAUUCACUGGCUGGUGACUGUUGAUUUCCCAAAAGAACCCAAAUCCUCUCCUGAAGAAAUGGUCGCUGGUUUUGAACGCAUCUGUGCCCAGGGACUCAACAUCAGUAUUGAGGAGGCGAAGAAGAGAAUGUAUGCUUGUAGCACAACUAUUUACCAAGGGUUUCAGGUUUCAAUUACGCACCAAGAGGCCGAAAAGUUUAGAGGUGUUCCGGGGGCUGUUUUUGUAUCACCAGAUUCGCGAGUAAAAAAGGAAAAUGGAGGAGACAAGUAUAAAAAUGGAGUAAUCACUCCGAGACCACCCCCAGUUCAAUUUCAGAGAGGUGGAGAAAGGCGCCGUGAUCCAGGCAGAAUUCCACCUAGAUUUGACCAGCCUGAAAGUCCAAUUCCAAACCAUCAAGGGCCGCAACCCCAGUAUAGUCAGCAAGGGCAUAUGCAAGGAGGUGGUAGUAACUACGGGUCUCAACAAAAUCGUCCACCACAGAAAAAUCAUGGUCCUCCAGGGCUAGGAGGAACAGUGCCGAUGAACAAUAGGGAUUAUGCUACUGGAGGAAGGAACACAUAUCCAGGACAGCAAGGAAAUCACGAUCCCCCAGGACAGCAAGGUUACAACCAAGGACAGCAGGGAAGUCAUUACCGCCCAGGACAGCAAGGUUACAACCAAGGACAGCAGGGGAAUCAUUAUGACCCAGACCAAAGGAGCUUUCCACAAGGAGAUUGGAGGAGGGAUCAUGGAUCUCCUGGGCAAAGAGAUGAUAGGGGAGACAACUGGAAUUAUUCUCCCACCCAUGGUGGAAACUAUGGGCAAGGUGGAAAUACUAGCUAUGGACGACGUCACCCAGGUGAAGGUCAGAGGUCCGCACAAAUGGAGCUGAGGGGCAUGCAAGGAGAGCAAGGGAACUAUGCACCAAUGGGACAACCAGGGUGGUCAAACCAAUACAGUCAGCAAGGGCACAUGCAAGGAGGUGGUAGUUGCUACGGGUCUCCACAAAAUGGUCCAUCACAGCAAGAUCAUGGUCCUCCAGUGCUAGGAGGAAGGAUGCCAAUGAACAAUAGGGAUUAUGCCCCUGGAGGAAGGAACAUGUAUCCAGGACAGCAAGGUUACUUCCAAGGACAGCAGGGAAAUCAUUACCCCCCAGGACAAGGUUACUUCCAAGAUCAGCAGGGAAAUCAUUACCCCCCAGGACAGCAAGGUUACAACCAAGGACAGCAUGGAAAUCGUUAUUCCCCAGGUCAGCAAGGUUACAACCAAGAGCAGCAGGGAAAUCAUUACCCCCCAGGACAGCAAGGUUACAACCCAGGACAGCAUGGAAAUCGUUAUCCCCCAGGUCAGCAAGGUUACAACCAAGGACAGCAGGGAAAUCUUUACCCCCCAGGACAUCAAGGUUACUUCCAAGAACAGCAGGGAAAUCAUUACCCCCCAGGACAGCAAGGUUACUUCCAGGAACAGCAGGGAAGUCAUUACCGCCCAGGACAGCAAGGUUACAACCAAGGACAGCAGGGGAAUCAUUAUGACCCAGACCAAAGGAGCUUUCCACAAGGAGAUUGGAGGAGGGAUCAUGGAUCUCCUGGGCAAAGAGAUGAUAGGGGAGACAACUGCAAUUAUUCUCCCACCCAUGGUGGAAACUAUGGGCAAGGUGGAAAUACUAGCUAUGGACAACGUCACCCAGGUGAAGGUCAGAGGUCCGUGCAAAUGGAGCAGAGGAGCAUGCAAACAGAGCAAGGGAACUCUGCACCAUUGGGACAACCAGGGUGGUCAAACCAAGUGAGGACAAAGAAUGGUUUACUGACCUUACAUGCACGCAUGACUUGUAGAUUUGUUUAUGGGAAGAUAGAUUAAAAUGUCAUCUUGUGUAGCUAGGUUAGCCCUUGACUGCUUACUAGUUAGAUUACUGGAAAGUUUUAUCAUCAAGAGUUUUGUGGUCACUAUUCUUCAAUUACCAACAGUCUCCUGGGAAACUCUGCAUGCUUGAAAGUGAAGUACACUGCUGAAAUGGAGGAUACUGAGAAGACUGAUGGUUCUUUGAGGUGGAAGAGAGAAUGGACUUGUAAAUCACUUUCAUCUUGGAAUUUAUGGGAUUUUGGUGUAGCUUUAUGGAAGCUUGAAUUUUUGCUAAUCUUUAACAGACUUGCUUAUUAUCACUGAUUUUUCUGGCAUCUAAACGCCCACUGUAAAUUAUAUACAAGAUUAUUAAUCUGCAUAGAUGUUUUGUGGUUUGUACCAUGGUUGUUCGUUGAACUGUGAUGCCUUUAUGUGCAUGCAUGGUGGUAGUGAAUGCUGGGUGGUUGUGUACAUAUUUUUGUCUUCAAACUGAUCAUUUUGUUCCUAAUCUUUUUUUCCUGACAUUUCAGCAUGGGAAAGAUUCCUGGUGUCAACUUACAGAGACUGCAAGCUCUGCCUAACGCUUUUGAUGCACUCAAGUAUUCCGAUCUAUUGAUUCAGGAUCUGUGAAGGGAUUUCCAAAUUCCACUCAAGAAGCCGUGGCUCAAGUUCGAACUAGCUUUAUGCAGUACUUGCUAACAUUAACCAGUUUGUGCUUCUAGUUUUAUGUUUAUGUGAUAUCAUUCCAGACCUGCUCCAAUAACUUACCUCCUUUUUCUGCAGAAUCUUGUAUUAGGAAAGAAUUUGAAAGCAGACAAGAGCAUUCAUACAGCAUAUGUAAAGGCAAUAAGAUCAGCUGAACACUUCAUAUACAAAGAGAAUCAAUAUUUUCCUGGAUCUUCCUAGCUAUCUUUGGCCAUCAUACAAAAAUGCAGGUACAGAAAGCAUCAAGUUACUGCCUUUCCUUGCCAAAUGUGAAGAAAUUUAUUGAAUGCUGAUUACUGAUUAAUCGACACUAAUAAAUCACAGCGUAUCUCAUGCAAGACAUUAAGGUGUUUUAGUUUUUGUUUUGUUGUUUAGUUGGAUAUCUGAUGAGGAAAUUUCUCUUUGACUUCAUCUAUGUGAACAGGAGCUGAUAACUUAUUAUUGUAAAUACAGCUAUAUGUUUUCCCAUAGUUUUGUGAACUUUUAUAGAUUAUAUUAUUUUGCAAUGCUCUCAUAAUGUUGAGGAUA